rnacentral:rRNA from 1 species
GACGAACGCUGGCGGCGUGCUUAACACAUGCAAGUCGAACGGAAAGGCCCUGCUUUUGUGGGGUGCUCGAGUGGCGAACGGGUGAGUAACACGUGAGUAACCUGCCCUUGACUUUGGGAUAACUUCAGGAAACUGGGGCUAAUACCGGAUAGGAGCUCCUGCUGCAUGGUGGGGGUUGGAAAGUUUCGGCGGUUGGGGAUGGACUCGCGGCUUAUCAGCUUGUUGGUGGGGUAGUGGCUUACCAAGGCUUUGACGGGUAGCCGGCCUGAGAGGGUGACCGGACACAGGGGGAGAGAGACACGGCAGAGACUCAUGCGAGGGACAAGAGGGGAGAAUAUUGCAAAGUGGGCGGGAGUGUGGUGCAGAAACGGCGCGUGCGAGAUGGCGGCCUUCGGGUUGUAAACCGCUUUCGCCUGUGGCGAAGCGUGAGUGACGGAAAUGGAUAAAGAAGCACCGGAUAAAUACG